UACGUAGGGUGCGAGCGUUGUCCGGAAUUAUUGGGCGUAAAGAGCUCGUAGGCGGUCUGUCGCGUCUGCUGUGAAAUCCCGAGGCUCAGCCUCGGGCUUGCAGUGGGUACUGGCAGGCUAGAGUGCGGUAGGGGAGAAUGGAACUCCUGGUGUAGCGGUGGAAUGCGCAGAUAUCAGGAGGAACACCGGUGGCGAAGGCGGUUCUCUGGGCCUUACCUGACACUGAGGAGCGAAAGCGUGGGGUGCGAACAGG
rnacentral:rRNA from 1 species